UACGGAGGGGGCAAGCGUUGUUCGGAUUCAUUGGGCGUAAAGGGUGCGUAGGCGGCGCGGUAAGUCGGGUGUGAAAUCUCGGAGCUUAACUCCGAAACUGCAUUCGAUACUGCCGUGCUUGAGGACUGGAGAGGAGACUGGAAUUUACGGUGUAGCGGUGAAAUGCGUAGAUAUCGUAAGGAAGACCAGUGGCGAAGGCGGGUCUCUGGACAGUUCCUGACGCUGAGGCACGAAGGUCAGGGGAGCAAACGGG
rnacentral:rRNA from 1 species